rnacentral:rRNA from 1 species
AUUGCACGUCUAAGCAGUAAGGCUGAGUAUUAGGCAAAUCCGGUACUCAUUAAGGCUGAGCUGUGAUGGGGAGAAGACAUUGUGUCUUCGAGUCGUUGAUUUCACACUGCCGAGAAAAGCCUCUAGAUAGAAAAUAGGUGCCCGUACCGCAAACCGACACAGGUAGUCAAGAUGAGAAUUCUAAGGUGAGCGAGCGAACUCUCGUUAAGGAACUCGGCAAAAUGACCCCGUAACUUCGGGAGAAGGGGUGCUCUUUAGGGUUAACGCCCAGAAGAGCCGCAGUGAAUAGGCCCAAGCGACUGUUUAUCAAAAACACAGGUCUCUGCUAAACCGUAAGGUGAUGUAUAGGGGCUGACGCCUGCCCGGUGCUGGAAGGUUAAGAGGAGUGGUUAGCUUCUGCGAAGCUACGAAUCGAAGCCCCAGUAAACGGCGGCCGUAACUAUAACGGUCCUAAGGUAGCGAAAUUCCUUGUCGGGUAAGUUCCGACCCGCACGAAAGGCGUAACGAUUUGGGCACUGUCUCAACGAGAGACUCGGUGAAAUCAUAGUACCUGUGAAGAUGCAGGUUACCCGCGACAGGACGGAAAGACCCCGUGGAGCUUUACUGUAGCCUGAUAUUGAAAUUCGGCACAGCUUGUACAGGAUAGGUAGGAGCCUUUGAAACGUGAGCGCUAGCUUACGUGGAGGCGCUGGUGGGAUACUACCCUAGCUGUGUUGGCUUUCUAACCCGCACCACUUAUCGUGGUGGGAGACAGUGUCAGGCGGGCAGUUUGACUGGGGCGGUCGCCUCCUAAAAGGUAACGGAGGCGCUCAAAGGUUCCCUCAGAAUGGUUGGAAAUCAUUCAUAGAGUGUAAAGGCAUAAGGGAGCUUGACUGCGAGACCUACAAGUCGAGCAGGGUCGAAAGACGGACUUAGUGAUCCGGUGGUUCCGCAUGGAAGGGCCAUCGCUCAACGGAUAAAAGCUACCCCGGGGAUAACAGGCUUAUCUCCCCCAAGAGUUCACAUCGACGGGGAGGUUUGGCACCUCGAUGUCGGCUCAUCGCAUCCUGGGGCUGUAGUCGGUCCCAAGGGUUGGGCUGUUCGCCCAUUAAAGCGGUACGCGAGCUGGGUUCAGAACGUCGUGAGACAGUUCGGUCCCUAUCCGUCGUGGGCGUAGGAAAUUUGAGAGGAGCUGUCCUUAGUACGAGAGGACCGGGAUGGACAUACCUCUGGUGUACCAGUUGUCGUGCCAACGGCAUAGCUGGGUAGCUAUGUGUGGACGGGAUAAGUGCUGAAAGCAUCUAAGCAUGAAGCCCCCCUCAAGAUGAGAUUUCCCAACUUCGGUUAUAAGAUCCCUCAAAGAUGAUGAGGUUAAUAGGUUCGAGGUGGAAGCAUGGUGACAUGUGGAGCUGACGAAUACUAA